rnacentral:rRNA from 1 species
UACGUAGGUGGCGAGCGUUGUCCGGAUUUACUGGGUGUAAAGGGCGCGUAGGCGGGAAGGCAAGUCAGGUGUGAAAUCUAUGGGCUCAACCCAUAAACUGCACUUGAAACUGUUUUUCUUGAGUGUCGGAGAGGUAGAUGGAAUUCCUAGUGUAGCGGUGAAAUGCGUAGAUAUUAGGAGGAACACCAGUGGCGAAGGCGAUCUACUGGACGAUAACUGACGCUGAGGCGCGAAAGCGUGGGGAG